AAUCUGGCGUCCUCUGGGCGUCCGAGUUGUAAUUUGGAGGAGCGUCUUCGGGAGCGGCACCGUCCUAAGUUCUUUGGAACAGGACGUCAUAGAGGGUGAGAAUCCCGUGCCUGGGCGGUUGACCGUUCCCAUGCGAAGUGCUUCCGACGAGUCGAGUUGUUUGGGAAUGCAGCUCAAAAUGGGUGGUAAAUUUCAUCUAAAGCUAAAUAUUGGCGAGAGACCGAUAGCGCACAAGUAGAGUGAUCGAAAGAUGAAAAGCACUUUGAAAAGAGAGUUAAAAAGUACGUGAAAUUGUUGAAAGGGAAGCGCUUGAGAUCAAACUCGGCCUCUGGUGAUCCGCUGGGCUUCUGUCCGGUGAAACUUUGCCAUUGGCCGGGCCAGCAUCGGUUCUGACGGUGGGAAAAACGGCCGGGGAAUGUGGCUCCUCUCGGGGAGUGUUAUAGACCUGGCCUUCGAUACUGCCAGUUGGGACCGAGGACCGCGCUUCGGCUAGGAUGCUGGCGUAAUGGUCUUAAGCGACCCGUCUUG
rnacentral:rRNA from 1 species